rnacentral:lncRNA from 10 species
ACUCAUAGUUCUGCAUGGCUGGGGAGGCCUCAGGAAACUUACAAUCAUGGCAGAAGGCAAAAGGGAAGCAAGGCAAGUCUUACAUGGCAGCAGGAGAGAGACAGAGAUCAGGGGAAACUGUCACUUUUAAACCAUCAGAUCUCAUGAGAACUCCCUCACUAUCAUGAAAACAGCAUGGAGAAAACCACCCCCAUGAUCCAAUCACCUUCUACCACGUCCCUCCCUUGACACUUGGGGAUUACACUUAGAGAUAGAUUUGGAUGGUGACACAGAGCCAACCAUAUCAGUUAUUAUUUUCCUCUUCUGUCCCCCAUUGCCAGCUCUCUUCACUGUCUCUAGCAAGUUUGCUAUCUUGUUCUCUCCCUGCCCUACUAGAACACCACAUUGCAAGUCUCUGGGGGCAAAAAUUAUUCUGGUAGUCUGACUUUUAUCUGCAUUGCAAAAUUUACUUCCACUGCCUUCCUGAGUUUCAGUUUGAUGAUUAAUAAAAUCAUUUCUUUUCAAUGUUCUUGUUUAUCCCAAAACAUUGAGGAAAUCUUUAUAAAAUUCAUAUUAGUAUUUCUAAUAUUUAUAUCAAUGGAAGUAGCAAAAUAAAUAGAGUUAAGUUAUAAUUCACAUGGCCAGACAUCUCUCUUUGUAUUAGCGUAUUCUGGCAAAAAAAAACCCAUAAAAUUUUCAUAAAAACUAGAUCUUUUAUAGACUUUAUAAUUUUAUCUGUCAGUUCUGAUGAAAAAGCCUAAUCUAUUCAUAUGUGAUUUCAAAAGCUUCCUUUCUAAUAAGAAACAGAUUGUUUUGAAUAGAGAAGUACCCAUCAGCGAAAGAUACGUAGGGCUAUAAUGUCAGUUAAUUUCUAUAGCUGCAGUCUUAUUGUUUAAAAAAUACAAAAAUUACUUUAGUUCUUAAGGGCAUCAUUAAGUAUAGAGGUCUCCAAACAAAUUUAAUGCAUUUUUACUCAUUUUGUUUUGUGUCAGUACUACAAAAUGAAUAUGAAUGCUUUGUUUACAUUUUUCGUUCUCUUUACAGUUGGAGCUUUUUAUCAUUUGAGAUCAAAGUCAAUUUUUUAAAUAAAUAAAAUAAUUUUUAAUAUCUC